rnacentral:rRNA from 1 species
GAUGAACGCUGGCGGCGUGCUUAACACAUGCAAGUCGAACGAUGAAGCCCAGCUUGCUGGGUGGAUUAGUGGCGAACGGGUGAGUAACACGUGAGUAACCUGCCCUUAACUCUGGGAUAAGCCUGGGAAACUGGGUCUAAUACCGGAUAGGAGCGUCCACCGCAUGGUGGGUGUUGGAAAGAUUUAUCGGUUUUGGAUGGACUCGCGGCCUAUCAGCUUGUUGGUGAGGUAAUGGCUCACCAAGGCGACGACGGGUAGCCGGCCUGAGAGGGUGACCGGCCACACUGGGACUGAGACACGGUCCAGACUCCUACGGGAGGCAGCAGUGGGGAAUAUUGGACAAUGGGCGAAAGCCUGAUCCAGCCAUGCCGCGUGUGUGAAGAAGGUCUUCGGAUUGUAAAGCACUUUAAGUUGGGAGGAAGGGCAGUAAGUUAAUACCUUGCUGUUUUGACGUUACCAACAGAAUAAGCACCGGCUAACUUCGUG